UCCUACGGGAGGCAGCAGUGGGGAAUAUUGGACAAUGGGGGCAACCCUGAUCCAGCCAUGCCGCGUGUGUGAAGAAGGCUUUCGGGUUGUAAAGCACUUUCAGUGAGGAGGAAAACCUUACGACUAAUACUCGUGAGGCUUGACGUUACUCACAGAAGAAGCACCGGCUAACUCCGUGCCAGCAGCCGCGGUAAU
rnacentral:rRNA from 2 species